rnacentral:rRNA from 1 species
UACGAAGGGGGCUAGCGUUGUUCGGAAUUACUGGGCGUAAAGCGCACGUAGUCGGGUUAUUAAGUCAGGGGUGAAAUCCCGGAGCUCAACUCCGGAACUGCCUUUGAUACUGGUAAUCUAGAGAUCGGAAGAGGUUAGUGGAAUUCCCAGUGUAGAGGUGAAAUUCGUAGAUAUUGGGAAGAACACCAGUGGCGAAGGCGGCUAACUGGUCCGAUACUGACGCUGAGGUGCGAAAGCGUGGGGAGCAAACAGG